GUGCUCACUUUGGCACCACAUAUACUAAAAUUGGAACAAGACAAAGAAGAUUAGCAUGGCCCCUGUGCAAGGAUGACAUACAAAUUCAUGAAGCCUUCCAUACUUUU
ensembl:snRNA U6 U6 spliceosomal RNA